rnacentral:rRNA from 1 species
UACGGGGGGAGCAAGCGUUGUUCGGAUUUACUGGGCGUAAAGUGCGCGUAGGCGGUCAGCACAAGUCAGUUGUGAAAUCUCCGGGCUUAACUCGGAAAGGUCAACUGAUACUGUGCGACUAGAGUGCAGAAGGGGCAACUGGAAUUCUCGGUGUAGCGGUGAAAUGCGUAGAUAUCGAGAGGAACACCUGCGGCGAAGGCGGGUUGCUGGGCUGACACUGACGCUGAUGCGCGAAAGCCAGGGGAGCGAACGGG